GUUACCUGCUGUAGGGAACCUGCUUUAGCAGGGGGUUGGACUCAUGAUCUCUAGAGGUCCCUUCCAACACCUACAAGUCUGUGAUUCUGUGAAAACAUUAAACCUCUUUGAAGUGCUUCUAAAGAGACAUCAAGAAGAAUAAGAACAAUAGGAGGUAAGUUUUUCUUUCUGUACUUGUUUUCUCCUACUAAGUUGCAUUUGCAGGUGAAACAGAGGUUUUUGCAUUAAAAGGUUACUACCAUAGCAGGAGGCGAAAGCUCAUUAUUUUCUGACUUUACAUCAUGUGACUAAGUCUCUGCCAGACAGAAGCGUGUAGCCCUCCAAGACUUCAUUUCCAUAUGGGGAUAAGUGCAUUCAUGGCAGGUACAAAUGGCUGUUUCAUGAAAAUUGGAAGCUGAAGUCAGGCAGGUUGUGAAGCAUUUAUUUACAGAAGGUGGCAGAAUGGUAGACAAAUUAAGCUCUCAGUUUGUUGGAAACCACAAGGUUGUGUGUCCUUGUGGCUCCCCUGUUGUGGUGGCCAUCAGUAAAAUAAUGCAUGGUCUAUGUUGUUACUUUUGAGUUUAGUAAAUAGAGGUUUGCAGCCUACAUUUUAUGGAGGCUUCCGGGUGUGUGCAAAGGAGCUGUGUGACUGGUCUCAUCACUGCUGUAGUAGGCAUCCCCUCCUGCUUUACAAUGUUUUAUGUAGCUUUUUUUUUUGUUGUGCCAAUAACUGGAAUGUAUUUGGGCAACAUGGCUGUAGUGUAACUAAUACAACAGUCAAAACCAAACAUUGCUGACAUGCUGUUAAAGGUGCUAAAAAGCACCAUGAAGGAGAUUUCACAGACCUGGACAAACAAUUAUCAGUGUUAUCUGAACACAGGAGUAAUUUUGCUAAGAUUAUCACUGUCAGCUUUCAUGAUGAAAGAACUAAAGAGAACUGAAGUUCAACUCCUACGCUGCUGAAGCAGUCAGUCAUGCAGGUGUGUAAAAAAAGUAAAAAGCACCUGCCAGAGGUGGCUACCGCAUUUUUAUAUCUAGCUUCUCCAGUUUUCUCAAGUCUUCAACACUACAAGAAAUUCUCUUAGAGGAACAGAUGUGCUAGAGAGUAAGUAAUGAAAAACAGAGAGUUUCACUUUAGGUUAUUCAGCUGAGUAUGUUUCAUCUGGAUAGGCAUGAUAAGUUGUCAUCUGAUGAAUAUUUGCC
rnacentral:lncRNA from 1 species